UACGUAGGAGGCAAGCGUUGUCCGGAAUUACUGGGCGUAAAGCGCGUGUAGGUGGUGGGACAAGUCUGCUGUGAAAGCGCCUGGCUUAACCGGGCGAGGUCGGCGGAAACUGUCCGACUAGAGGACGGUAGAGGGGGGGUGGAAUUCCCGGUGUAGUGGUGAAAUGCGUAGAGAUGUGGAGGAACACCGAUGGCGAAGGCAGCCCCCUGGGUCAAGAUUGACGCUCAUGCACGAAAGCGUGGGGAGCAAACAGG
rnacentral:rRNA from 1 species